rnacentral:misc_RNA from 1 species
CCGAGUUGACAGACUCCCCACACCCUCGUGAACAGUACCCUUAACGUUGCUCGGCGGGCGGUAUCAACCCCCCACGGGUGGAACCCUCGGCCUCCCUCGGGGGACGGGGGACGGCCCGCCAGGCGGUACCCGCAAACUCUGUUAUACCUAUAACGGCCUCUCUGAGUAUAUACCAUGAAUAAGUCA